CCGUAGGUGAACCUGCGGAAGGAUCAUUACCGAGUGCGGGCCCUCUGGGUCCAACCUCCCAUCCGUGUCUAUCUGUACCCUGUUGCUUCGGCGUGGCCACGGCCCGCCGGAGACUAACAUUUGAACGCUGUCUGAAGUUUGCAGUCUGAGUUUUUAGUUAAACAAUCGUUAAAACUUUCAACAACGGAUCUCUUGGUUCCGGCAUCGAUGAAGAACGCAGCGAAAUGCGAUAAUUAAUGUGAAUUGCAGAAUUCAGUGAAUCAUCGAGUCUUUGAACGCACAUUGCGCCCCCUGGUAUUCCGGGGGGCAUGCCUGUCCGAGCGUCAUUGCUGCCCUCAAGCACGGCUUGUGUGUUGGGCUUCCGUCCCUGGCAACGGGGACGGGCCCAAAAGGCAGUGGCGGCACCAUGUCUGGUCCUCGAGCGUAUGGGGCUUUGUCACCCGCUCCCGUAGGUCCAGCUGGCAGCUAGCCUCGCAACCAAUCUUUUUAACCAGGUUGACCUCGGAUCAGGUAGGGAUACCCGCUGAACUUAAGCAUAUCAAUAAGCGGAGGA
rnacentral:rRNA from 1 species